rnacentral:rRNA from 1 species
UACGUAGGCAGCGAGCGUUGUUCGGAGUUACUGGGCGUAAAGGGUGCGUAGGCGGUUGUUUAAGUUUGGUGUGAAAUCUCCCGGCUCAACUGGGAGGUGCGCCGAAUACUGAAUGACUAGAGUACGGGAGAGGAUAGUGGAAUUCCUGGUGUAGCGGUGAAAUGCGUAGAUAUCAGGAGGAACACCGGUGGUGUAGACGGCUAUCUGGACCGUAACUGACGCUGAGGCACGAAAGCGUGGGUAGCAAACAGG